GCAUAUUUUGGAGUAAAUUAUACUAAUAUGCAAGCACUGAUUUUGGAAUACAAUCAUUUAAACUGCCUGCCAGGGUUUUACGUCUAAGGCUGGCAGCUCAGUUAAGAAGGAAGGUUUGGCACCUAAAGAAAUGACACUGCUCUCUCCGAUGCUCCACAACGUGCCGCCUGGCAUGGGAGAUUGUCCAUUCAUUUGUUUGUUUGAAAUUUAAAUAAAAUCCUCAUUGGGAAGUGCCGGUUAAAAUCUCGGGAAAACUCUCAACUAACGGACAGGACCAUUAGCAGCGACAUAAACUGGGAAGUGGGAGGGCCUUGAAGACGUCAUACGGAGCUCUCUGCCAGCCUUGGGAAAGCACAGUCCAUGUGACGCCCAACAAUGCCACCAAGAUUCCAGGAGGAGCUGAGCCCACGAACACGGGACUUUGACGGCGUGCUCGAGUUCCUGAAGGGGCGAUUCUGGCCAGGGCAGAGCUGCAGGCUGUCGGUCGGGGCUGCUCAGAACUCAGUUGGGUGAAGGCACUGAGAAGCGAGGCCAUCUGAAGGCAGUGCCGUGGAUGUCGCUGAGUGGACUGUCUGACGUGUCUGUCCCCAUCCCGGGGAGGAGAGCUACGUAUGGCCGUUGAGCAGUUCCCAGACCCGGGCUGAAUCACUUCUGCUUUUGGGAGGGGACUCAGUUGCCACCACUGUCCAGAAAAGAGCAGUGAUCGCUGUUGGCGGGGCUCUUGAGAGGAUGGAAGGAGCUGAACUGAAGGUCCAUACCCGGCCCGUGAGCCUCGGUCUCGGAAGCUCUGCUCGUGUUUGCCUGUCACCGAAAGCUCAGGAGAAGAAAGUGCCCCAGGGCUGGAGAUGGGAAGGGAGGAAGUGAAAGUCAAAUCACGCCGUGCGUUUCGGUUUAAAAGCCACCGUAGGAACAAGCCUUGCCAGGGGAAAAAGUUGAAACUAAAUGAGGCUUUCAGUUUUCUGCGGGUUUCAGUGAUUCAAAUGAGCCCCAGGGCUCCCUUUUGUCUCCCGGGUGUUGCAGAGGUCACACCCCGGGUUGGCAUGAGAUAAAACGCUGCUGUGCACACAGAAACCGCUUGUGCACUAGCCAGGCUCUCUCCGAAGGCCAAGUGCCCGAGCCACUGCUGUUGUUUCUGUUUUAAUAUUCCCGGAGUGUUGAAAAGUGAGAUGCCGAAACAGAACUACAUUGUAGUGCAGUUUUUAACAUUUAUGUUGAAAAAAUUAGUAAUUUUAACACGCAUUUAAAUAACUGCGAUAUAAUUAUCUUGCUUUUCAAAAGACGACCACGUUUAUAAGCAACGUUCAUGUAGGAUGCGCUCUAAAGAGUGGGACCCAAAUUUAAGGCUGUGUGAUGAGUGACUCCUUCCAGUCCUUAGAGUGGAUGUCACCGCACGGACAGGCUCAUCUGGAAAUGGUGUCAGAAGCCUUUAUUCGAGGGAGCCUUUCAAAACUGCACGGCUGAGCUCAAAUGCUCUCCUGCCCCAGCCGCCCAGCAACUUGGCCUCCAGCCCCACCACAGAUACCCCGCUAUCGAGUGUGUCCUUAUGACUGUGAAGCAAGAAGGAGAAAAAUAAGGAGGAUGGAGAGGUCCAGUAUGGAGUGCUCCUUUCACAAAGAUUUUCCAGUACCUACUGUGUUCGGAGGCAAUGACCCGGUGCUGUGCUUGAGCUCAUAGUCAGGGUUCGCAUCUGAGAGUUUCAUUCUCUCCUCACGUGUGGAAUCUCUGCAACGCUCAGCUGUCUCCUUGGGUACCUCAUUUGUGAGGCUCCUUGUUGGCUGUCGUGAGCAUGCAAUGGCUUAUACACAUCCAGUUACCGGAGUGGUGCCGGCACAGGGAAGGACCAGCACACACGUGCCGCCUGCAGAGGCUUAACUCCCGCUCCUCCGUGCAUUCUGCAUUCCACCCACUCUGCAAGCUGCUUCACCUGAAACCACUGCCUGGCAGUACGGGAAGGUUUUGGUAAAGCACGAGGAAAUGCUACUCCAUGGAUGAGGGGAACAAAGGCAUCAGUUUUAUUAAGGAAACUCUUACAAAUCCAUCCAUCAACCAUUCGACAAGCUGCACUGUGCUUGGUGCUAGCUAGGGGCUGCAGACACCGUAGUGGAUGAAAAGUGCAUAAGUAAUCAGUGUACAGCUCAAUUAAUUUUCACAGCAUGAACACACGUGUCAUUCAUACCCAGGUCAAGAAUCAGAAUCAGCAGCGCCCAGAUGCCUGCCUGUACCCACUUCUAUGCACAACCGCCUCCCCGGGGGAAAUAGUACUCUAACUUCUAAAACCACAGAUUAAUUUUGCCUGUUUUUAACCUUUAUAAAAAAGGAAUCACAACAGGUUGUCUUUUGAGACUGGCAUUUUGUUUUUACUCGUUAUUAUGUUUGUGAGAGUCGCCCUUUCUUGUGUAUAAGUUGUAGCUUAUUUAUUCUCACUCCUACAUGUUAUCCCAUUGUGUGAAUGAAUACACCAUGGUCUUGUAUCCAAUCUACUGCUGAUGGACAUUUGAGUUGUUUGCAGUUUGGGAAUAUUACAAAUUACACUGCAGCUGACAUUCUUGUAUGUGCCAUCUGUUGUGUAUAUGCCUGCAUUUCUGUUGGGUGUUUACUUAGGAGUGGAAUUGCUGAGUAUAAGGGAUGGGUAUAUUCAGUUUGAACAGAUACUAUCAAGCAGCUUUCCAAAGUAAUUGUAACAAUUUAUACUCUGCUCAGCAGAGUAUGAGAGUUCUGGUUGCUCUAAAUUGUCUGUCUUUUCCACUUUAGCCAUUUUGGAGAGUGUCUUGUGGUAUCUGUAUUAUGACGUUAAUCUGCAUUUCCCAAUGACUAAUGAAGUCAAAUGCCUUUUCACAUGUUUAUUUUCUGUUUGGAUAUCUUCUCUUGUGAAGUAUCUAUUCUGACAUUUGCCCAUUUUCCUGCUGAGUUCUCUUCCUUUUUCUUAUUGAUUUGAAGGAGCACUUUGUAUGUUCCAGGUAAGAGUCCUUUGUCAGUUAUAAGUAUUGAAACUGUCUUCUCCCAGUCUGUGGCUUAUCUUUUUACUCUUCUAAUGGUUUUAAAGAACUGAAGUUCUUAAUUUUAAUGUAGUCCAAUUGAUCGAUAUUUUUCCUUUUACAGUUACUGCUUUCUGUGUCUUAAGAUAUCUUUGCCUGAGAUGGUUCUUGUGGACGCAGCUAGAGCGAGGCAGGGAAAUUGUUAUGCACCGUGUUGCCUGUACAAGCAAAAAUACAGUCAGGAUAGCUACACGUGACCUCAAGAAAGCAAAGCACGAGCUGUCUGUUCAUGCCUUCUUUGGGAAGACCUGCUGGGAGGGACACAUGAGGAAAAACCCAGAGACCCCUGUGAACUGUGUGUUUUCCAAGUGCUCUGAGAGGGGCAAUACAGGGUGUGGGAAAGAGAAGUACAAAUUGAUGAAAUGGCAAAGUGCACCAGAUCAGGAAAUGAAGGAUUGGAGACCAGCUAAGGGAGGCAACAAGAAAGAUCGUACUAUCCCAAAUACCCUCAUACUCCACUUGGCUUCUUCCUCUUCUGCUUAGACCUCUGCCUAAGGUCAAAUCCAUAAACCUAGGCAUUUCCAUUGGAGACCUGGCCAAAUGGCUGGUGACAUGUUGUGGUAUGCAGAAUUCCUAUCACUCACAUGAUCGUGUGAAGUUCUAUGGCAGAGUUGACCUUAAUAUAGGAGAUUAUCCUGGUGGGUGUGAUUAAAUCAAUGGAAUUUUGCUAAGCAGAGAGCUUCCUCCAGCUAAUGGCAGAAGAGGAAGCCAGAGAGAUUUGAAGAAUGAAGGGGAUUUGGCUUGUAGAUGCAGGACACCACGUGAGAAGAAAGUCAGGCAACCUUAAAGAGCUGAGAGAGGGCCCUGGCCAGCAACCAUCAAGGAAAAAAGGUCCUCAGUCCUACAACCACAGGAACUGAAUUCUGCCCACAAUGUGAACGAGCCUGGAAGUGAUGUCUACUCAGAGCUGGCCGAGGACUCAGCUUGGCUGAUAACUUGAUUUCUGCCUUGUGAUUCCCUGAGCAGAGAAGGCAGCUACACCGUGCUGGACUUCUGACCUACAGGACUGUGAGCUAAAAAUGGGUGCUAGUUACUCUGCAAAGUUUGUAGUAAUUUGUUACACAGUGACAGAAAAAUAAAACACGUGGACUAGUUUGAGUCCUAGUGAAAACUUACCUUAUAAUAAGGCAACAAAGUUGAAGAUGAAUAAGAAGGACGUUGCCCACUGUAACCUAAAAGAAAGUGGUCGGUUAAAGGGCCGUCUAACAUUCCCCAGAGAAAAAGCUGGAGGAGGAAGAUGAAGAGUAUGGGAGAGGGAUAAAGAGGACGGGGAGGGGAGUAACUAAGAACACUGUGCACCUGCCUCCAUGGGAAUCCGUGAGGACAAUGCAGCAAGUGACCCAUCUCCCAUUUGAGAUGGUGUCUGUUGCUCUCACCGAGUUUAAUUCCACAGCUGGAACAUGACCACAUUAUAGUUCUUGAGAUGCUCUAGAAACCCCGGGUGGUUUCCGUGCUAUAUUUUAUGAGUGUCGCAAGCACCCUGAAAUGCUAUCAAAGUCACUCAUAUGUUCACAUAUUUUCAAAAUAAAAAGACACUCUUUUGUUGUCCUCACUCCAUGAUCUUAGAGAUUCAUGUAAGAGGGCAAUUAAAAUGUUUCUGGAAUUUAAAAAAUUUAUUUGUAAGGUGGUGUUACAGAUUGGAAAUCCUGAGCUAUCCACUGUAUAAUCUAUAACUUUGUAAAAAGAACGAGACACUAGAGCCUCCUGUGGUCCACGCUGUGCUGUGAUGCUGUGAUGCUGUGGGAGCUGGCACGUUUUCUAGGUGCCUCAGGGAUGAGGCCAAACCCGUUGACGCUGCUUCUGGUUGUCUUGUUUUUCUAUCUAGAGACAGAACGUUCUGCUGACAUUCUUAGGUCUCGAUCCAUCUCAGUUGAACUUCUGGUGUGGUGUGAGGCCGGGUAAUGGUCCAUCCUUGCCUCCCCCGGGAGCCCUGUGUCUUCACCUUGCCCCUCCCCUCGGCGGGUCCUCAACACCUCUUGCGAGACUGCUGAAAACGCUGAGAUGAUUUUCCGGGGCUUGCUGCUUCUCUUUUUCAGUCUCCACUCCUCAUAUACCCCCAACUCAGGAAAUGCCUGAAGGGAAAUCCAACCAUGUGAUGGAGGCCCCCCAUGUCUCUCAGAAAUUCUCUGGUAUCUCUGUCCCCAGACGCCCACCUUCUGCCACGACCCAGAAUGGGCGAAUGUCCUGGGGGCAGCUGCUGGUCAGCUUCCUCCCUGAGGAUCCACUCACUCCAGUGUCAGCGGCUUGGGUCCUGCUGCCCCAGCAGCUCUCCAGUGCCUCCAAACAGAGAUCUCUGCAUUUAAUGGGACCUUGCCUGCUUUGCUGGACAGAAGUGCUGGUCUGCGACAGGUUAUUCCAUAGCCCCCAAAACAGCACAUGCAUUUUUAAUCGUAAUCAUGGUAAAGUUAGGAGGUAAAAACACCACUCAGGGUGCUAGUGCAAGAGGGAAUACUAGGAGUCUUUGGCUCAAGAAGUCCACUGUCUUCCGUAGAAGCCACUGUCAUUUAUCGUUAGUGGACCUGAGCCUGGAGCACACGGACAGGGCGUUGGUGAAAGAACCGGCAGCCAGUGUCUAAUCCCACUUUCCCCCUCAGUCCGCCUUGUGGAACAAGUAAGUUGGCGCCUCUCCAGGUCCCAGCUUCCCUGAUCCUGGCAUCGCUUCUUCAGCUUAAGAACAGGAUCCUACCUUUUAAGUGCUCUAAACCCUUGGAACAAAAGGCAGCCAUUUAAAAAGAGGUGCCACAGAAAUUUCCUUCAUGCAUUUAAAAUGAUGUGUGUAUGCUUGAAAAUCAAGACAGUAGUGUUUCUAAAAGUUGGGGAGGAAGCAGAAGAAAUUCCCACAAGGCCGCAUAUUAGCUACUGAAACACAAUCCUUAGAGGAAGGAUGUCAGAGCAAACGCCUCUUUGCCUGCACACAUUUCCGUCUAUAAUUGCUUCCAGGUCCACUCCAGCAGCUUGGGUGUGAACACAGGUUUAUAAAAGUCAUCUGUAGCAAAUGAAAUUAAAAGCCCCCAAUCAAUACUACCAUUGGAUUAAGGCUGAGUUUAUCUUGAUAAUAUUUAGUGUUCUGGGAUGGAAUGGAGUUCAGGGUACUUUUUUUCUCUCUCAGGCUUGAAUUUGCAACUGGCGAUGCCUAAUGACCAAGGAAGGAGUUUUCAAAAACAGAGCCCAGAGAUGGAUGAGGGCCCAGGCAGGCUGGACAGUCACCGCUGCUAGCGGGAGGGUCCUUAGGUCAGGAGCAGGAUGUGCUUGCAAGCUUCCUGGCAGCUGGCCUCCAGCUGAGGAAACUGCAGUAGUGAAGGACAGGCAGGGACCUGAGCAAAUCUGAGUAAUCACCCCUUUGGGAGAAAAACUGCAUAAAUAAUUACUUGAAAUUCUCUCCUAAAGUAGAGUCAGAAGAAAACGAAUGUUGCCUAGAUGGGAGCCAACACCCAGCAAUAACUUCAGCUAAUAGAGGAUGUGAUGGCUCAGAAGAUAAACAAAAUAAAGUGUAGGAGAAGCACAAGGAAAACAAACGAGAGAAAUAGGGAGGGAAUAAAACACAGGAGGAGCUGGGAGGAAGCAGCUGCUUGGGGACAAGCCAGGGAGAAAUGUGAAAAGAAAAAAGAAAGAGCUUACCAGGCUGGUGGGGGAUGUUGAUAAUGGGGGAGGCUGUGCAUGUGUUGGGGCAGGGGCUAUAUGGGAAAUCUCUGUACCUUCCUCUCAAUUUUGCUGUGGACCUAAAACUGCUCUCAAAAAAUUGAAGUCUAAAAGAAAAGAGCCUAGAAAAAGCCAAUCAAACAGGUAAUAUUGUGUGGUUGCUGGGGUUGGCGGGGAGUGGCACCGUUCAUUAGAAAAGCAUCUUAUUCAAAGGCGUGGACCUUGACCACUCCUUCAUUCAACAUUAGGGAACAUCCCUCUCGGGAUUUUGGCUCAAGGAAAAAAGAGAAACAGCCACGCAGAACAGAGGAGGGCCCCAAACCCGAGAGGACAGGCUACCGGAGGAGGUCUUCAACAGAUUGUCCAUGCCAGUCUCCCGCCCUUUUGCAUAUGGGACCCCACCACAGCGUGGCUUGAUGGCUUGAUGAGCAGUGUGUAUCUCCGUACCCAGGAUCUGACCCUGCAAACCCCUGGCGGCCGAAGCAAAGCAUGUGAACCUAACCACUACGCCCCCGGGGCCAGCCCCAAUUCUGAUAUUUUAUACUCCUCAUACAACUGCCAUAAGGAAGAGACAUAGGAAAUAGAAUAAUAGUAAGAAAAACUAAAGUUAGUGGUAAUACACGUUAUUAUAUAUGAUGUAUUUAUAUAGAUUUAUUAUGUAAUAUGUACCAUUAUAUAUCAUAUACAUUAACGUAUGUUAAUAUUGACUUAGCAGUUGAGACUAAGCACAUACCAUCCCCAAAAGUCUUCUCUCUUUUAUCGUAAAGUGUGAAUGGACCCCGGAUUGGAGUUUUAUCUUGGCGCUUAAGGUUCACCGUAUUUUUAAAGACAUUCUAACUCUUGCUGGAUCUCAGAAUACCCAUUCCCUAACCUGUACAACUUCUGUGUCACCACUAUUUUGAAACAUAUAUUCCCUAAAUUAUAGCACAAUGAAAUCGUCCAGCAAGCUGUAAUCAUAAAUAUAAUGAUUCUUUGUACUUUCAAAGUGCUGCACUGCAAGAGCCAGAACAGGCUUCCUGAAGCCGGGCCCACACUGUGUCCUCGUGGUUUUAUAGCUGAGAAAACUGAACAGGGAGCAGCUAGCAGUUUGGGCCAGUGCCACAGCAAGGCAGCAAGAAAGCUGGAAUCCAACGGAAACGUCUCACACUCGACGGUGGACUUUCUGUGCCGGGAAACGUGAAAUAAGAAGGAAAAAUUAUAAAUUAGGGUUGUGGAAGUAUUUUAAUCAACUUUAUAUAUUUACCAAUUAAAAGCUAGUAUUUCAUAAGUAAUACCAUUUAAGAGUAGUACUAAGAAAGAAUAAUAUGGUUUUUGUUUUAGUCAUUUGCUUCUUGAUCUCUCAUAAUUAAAAUUUGCCAUAAAAACUCAAAUUUUCAUCUUUUUAGGGCAAGAGUGGAGAAAAUGAAAUGAGCUGAAGAGUGCGUAUGAAAUUUAUUUUAUUCAAGUGAAGAUUUAUGCUGGCAGAUUUCAUUCCGGCUGACAUUGACCUUUUCGGACGAGAUGAGAGGUCAGUUCGGAUGCUGUCUGUAGUUGUCGAGUCCUUUAAACUGUUCCUAAAGGUAAAGCUGCGUGCUUUGGAUGAAAGAAGACUGUGCCGCAGUCCGGCAGGGCGUCUGCUCAUGUGCCUGGGCCUCAGGAUGAGGCAAACCUGGCCGGGAGACUGCCUGGCUGCCUGGCGUUUUACUUGUCCAGUCCAGACACUCAGGGAGAACUGAGUGCUGGAGCCGGUGGGGUGGGGUGAGGUGGGGUGGUCGGGGCUGGGGGAGUAGGGAUCAGGGAUAUGGAGUUUGGGGUGUUGUUUGCUCUGAAGUUCAGACACAGAUGUGAAAACAACCGAUCGAGGCAGCCCCAGUGCCGCACCCGUCACCUUCCAGCUCUCACCAGCGGACGGCUGGAUCGCACACAUAAAAUUCUGUCUCUCUGUAACACACAACUCCCAGCACAGCCUGUGUUGAUUUUGUGGAAGGAAAUUGGAUUUGAGGUCUGCUGACCCGCCUCUGGGUCCUCCUCACAAUGGGCUGAGUGGCUUUGAAGGAGUCACUUGACCUCUUCUAUACCAGAGGGAGAACAUUGAUAAAUCGUGGAAUUGUUGCUUCGAUUCAUUGAGAUACCAGAUCUGGGGGGAGUGCUUUGUAAACUGUAAAGUACCGUAGAAAUAUUAGUUACUGUUAACUCAACAAACGGCUGUCUGUGUCACUCAAUGACCCAUUCGUGGAUGCCUUCUCGUCCCACCUACACUUCGCUUCCGUGCUUAACUCCUGAGAGAUCUCUGUAACAAGAGACAACACGCCCCCUGCCAUCGUGCGGCCUCAUGGCUGUAGGACCCGUGCCGUCUCGUAGUCCCUGCGCUCAGACAGGCCCUGUGCUUAGUUUAAUGCUCUGCUGUCAUCUUGAAAUUCUUAUUAAUUUUCAAACACGGGGCUUGCAUUUUCAUUUUGCCCUGUGCCCUGUGGAUGAUGGAGCCAGUGUGACCUGUCCUGUUUCUCUAACUCAUAAGAAAUGCCUGACUUUAAAAAUUCCUUGGAAUUUGCUCCAUUCCCAGACAUCUGCUUUGAGUAUCUCUAUGGAGCAAGUAGUUAUAAAUUAAUAUUUUUUAUUAAAGUAGUUUAUAUUUGAUAUAUAGUCUGUGCGUGUUUCCUGGAUAAAGCACAAUGCAAAAUUGUGACCCGAUGGUAGGUUAUCUCCAGACCAUCUAGAUUCUGAAUUUCUGGAGGAACAUGUUUUCUGUUCCUGGGCUCAGUGCCUGGCACGUUGAGGAUCCUCAAUAAAAUGUAGUGGACUGUGUGUGCACCACGUACACUGUACUGAUCCACUGCGAGAGACGGUCUCUGUGGAUGACAAAGGCAUCCUUAUGGGUGACUUAUGGUUUUAUUUUCUUUAUUGUGGCUUAUAUUGGCUAAGGGCAUUUGACUUUCAAAACACCAGUUGCUGCAGCUUUCUUCAGAUUUUUUUAAUGUCUCCCAUUAAAAGCUUCGACUCUAGGAAAAAAAUGCAAAUGUAUUUUAUGUUUUGUUCCCAAUUAUAAUAUAGUCAAACCUGAUAUUCUUGUUAAGGAAAGUUAGGUUGUUUGACUUUGUUCAUUUGGUAAUGAAAUGACAGUCAAAUAAUUUUAAAGUGUAUAUAAUUUGUUUUCAAUUAUAAGUAAAGCUGGUUCACCUCAGAUGGGUCUCAGGUGUACAUUUCGGGGGGUGGCACUUUGCAGGAGAGAGGCAGACGCAAGUCAGAACCGAGUCUGUAUUAGUUAUCUACUGCUGCAUAAAAAUUUGCUCUAAAACAUGUCCGUCUAAGACAACACUUAUUUUUCACCCAGUUUCUGCAGGUCAGGACUCUGGGAGCAGCCUCACUAUGCUGUUCUGGCUCAGGAUCUCCAAUGAAGCUGUGGUCAAGAUGUCGGCUGGGCUUAGUCAUCUGAAGGCUCGACUGGGGUGGAGGGUCUGCUCCCAAGAUGGCACACUCCAUGCCUGUUAGCUGGAGGCCUCAUCUCCUCCCAGUGUGAGCCUCUCCACUGGGCUGCUUGAGUGUCCUUGAGACAGGCCACUGCUUCCACCAGAGCAAGCAACCCAAGGGAAAGGGAGACAGAGGCCACAGUGGCCCUCAUACUCCAGCCUCCAGUGUGAUCUCCCACCAUUCCUCCUGGGUUCUGCUGGUUACACACAUAAUCUUGGUCCGUUCAGGAUGCUAUGACAAAAUACCACAAACUGGGUGGCUUAUCAACAACAGAAACCUGCUUCCCUCAGUUCUGGAGGCUGGGGAGUCCAAGAUCAAGGUGCCAGCAUGGUCACGUUCCCGUGAGGGCUCUCUGCUGCGUUCAUUGCUGACACCUCACUGUGUCCUCACAUGGUGGAAGGGGCAGAAGUCUCUGUGAGGUCUCUUUUAUAAGAACACUAAUCUCAUUCAUGAGGGCUCCAUCCUCCUGACCUAGGCACCACUCAAAGGCCCCAUCUCCUAACACCACCGCGUUGGGCAAUAGGAUUUCAGCAUAUGAAUUUUAGGGGGACAGAAACAUUCAGAGCACAGCACAGACCAACCCUGACACAAUGUGGGAGGGGACUAUAGAGGGGUGUGAAUACCAUGAGGUGGGAUCAUUGGGACUAUCUUGGAGACUGGCUGCCACGAAGUGGCAGGUGGCUGAGCAUUAGCCUCGCCCCUCUGCCAUUUCACCUGAAUUCUGCUGGGAAAAAGGGGCCAUGUCCAAAGGCUGUUAUCUUAAACUCCUGCCCGGCAGUCUGAAGGCACGGGAAGUCAGACUCAGGGUAAUUUUCAAGUCCAGCCAAUGCAUUUUUAUUAGACACUGAAUUAGUUGGCUGACUGCAUUGUCUAACCCCGGAACAAGCAUCUACAUAAAGGAGGCCAUGAAGUGGCUCUACUUACUACGUCCUUAGUGCCAAGUGUCACCAGGUCACGGGGCAUGGGUUGUCUUAGAGAAAGAUAAGCGGAAAGCAAUAGAUUGUGAUGUAUAAUCAAGCAGUGGAAAGUGCAACACAGACUAAAUGUGGAGGAAUUUAGGGCUUCCUGCUGGUUAGCAAGAAUACAAAGCUUCCUGAAGGCGUAGGUUUGUGGAGAACCGAAUAAAGAAACACAGGAGAGAUGAAAGGGGCUGAGGCUAGGAGGGCAGCCCCGAGCAGCGGCAGGAGGGCAAGAGGCUGAUUCAGAAGCCUCGGAGGCUUGAGUGAGGCUGACUUCCAUCCUCAGGGGAAGGCACAGAGGGUCCCGCUCGCCCUGUACAUCGGGAAGGUGGAAGGAGGCAGAGUUAUCAACAGAGGGAGGCCAAGCCAUGGGCGUCUCUCAGACGUCCACCAUGUGCAAUGCUCUUCCCAUGUGAUUCCAUUUAACCUCCAAACGACCGGAGGAGGCGAGGGUAGCCUUCUCUCUAGAGAAGUGGGUUUGGAACCCAGGGUUGUUUGCAUCCAAAGCACACACUGUUUUCACAAGACUCUCACUGUCUCUGUAGGGAUGGAUCAGCUGAAACCUUCAAGAAACAGACAGCACCGGGACCGGAGUGGGAGGAGGGGGCAGCAGGCUGUGUAGCCGGCACGGAGCCAGUGGGUAAACUUCCUCCUUUCUGCCUCAAGCCUACAAGGCAGACUUUGACCCUUCUCGAGACUUCAUAAAGGAACAGCUGUCCACCAUUUCCGCCCUACCUCCUGUCAAGACACGCCCAGUGUGGACCAGGCCCCGCCGCCCCGCAGACGGAGAGGGGAGAGAGAUUCACUUCACGCCCAUUUCAAAGUGGACGCAUUCGCCUUAAACGACCUUAAGUUUAAAGGCAGUUUCUCACGUGGAACUGAGAGUGGCUGUUUAAAGAAGAGAUGGCAAUUAUGUUAUCAAAUUAUAGUGUGGAAAAUAAAACACAGGAAGCAUUUCGUGCUUAGACAGUGGAGUGUAGAAGAGUCAGGAGCCAGGUUCAAAUUCUGGCUCCACAUCCAAACAGAUCUGUGACUUAGAGCAAAGUACAUAAGCUCAAGGCCUCACCUGUGGAACAUGGAAGAUGAGGCCUACAUCGUUAGGAUAUUGUUUUCUGAGGAAGAUUGGCCCUGAGCUAACAUCUGUGCCAAUCUUCCUGACUUUUGUAUGUGGGUUGCCACAACAGCAUGGCUGAGGAGUGGUGUAGGUCCAUGCCCAGGAACCAAAGCCACGAACCCGGGCCACUGAAGCAGAAUGCGCUGAACUUAACCACUAUGCCACAGGGCUGGCCCUAAAGACGGUAACUUUUAAUACUACUGUGGGUAGCACAUAGGAGGUGCUGUAUAAACCAUAGUUACUUUUAUUAAAGUGAAUUGUUUUUUUCCAACAAAAGAUUUAUCAUUCCAGCUAUGGUCAGCCUUGGCUAGAAAUAUAACUUGUCUGCAUUUUUAGAUAGACACUUAUGAAUGGUGGGGUGUUUACCUAAGAGUACAGGCUGCAUUCGUAGUUACACUGUGCUUCCAUGGGGUGGGGGGAGCAGCUUCAGAGCUGGCGGGUGCCAUGAAUGUUCCCAAGUUGGAGAAACACACAGAAAGAACCAAGGGUGGUUAAAAAUACUAUAAUCUUCUCUUAGAGUGAUGGCAAGAUGGGGGAACAUGUGGAUAAGAAUGGUGUACGCGUUGGGGGGUGUGGACAUGGAGCAAACCAAAGUUCGAGUGGAGGAGUGAAUGGACCAAUGGAUUUGAAGGUACUUUGAAAAGUGUAUGUGCCAUGUGCAUUAUCGUCAGGGGCCCGCCGCCAGUUCUCAGCGUGUUAGUGGCAGAAGAAGGGAAAACGGAACACAGGGUUCCUAAAGCCCAGCCAGAUGCUGUCUCCCGCACCAUGCCGUCCUGGAACGUGGAUGCCACCCCUCUCUUCUGACAUUUCAUGGUUGUUUAGAGUUAGCUGUAGCGCAGCCCGCAUAUGUCUAGUGCCUGGUGGGAGAACGUGAAUUAAUUAAAGUCUCCUCAUGCUUUUAUUCACCAGCUUCUCUAGGAUUUUUGUUGUAAGGCCAAGUUAUCAGAGACACCACGGCUUUCCUCGGCGGCCCGCCAGCACGGGGGAAGGAAGACACUCAGCCCUUAGGAGAGAAGUUCAAGAGGUGCAGCUUACCCUCCAGAGCAACGUGGAUUCAUGGCGUCCAAAUGUCCUGCAUGGAUUCACCUGUUUGACAGAACCUGGCACUCAGAGUAAUGACAAGGCCUGAUAGUUCUUUUUUAUUUUUCAAACCCCAAGUUGAUUAUCCCCUAAGUGCAAAACACUUCCAAAAUAUAUAGUAAGAAAAGGAAUGUACAUUACAUUUAGUCUAAACAGGAGAUCCUAGGAGAAUGUUAGAGACAUUUUGGAGGUUGGGGAAGUGGCGCAAAGGAUGCAUAUUUAUUUAUAUGACUUACGUAGCUUAUCUACAAGAAAUUUCAAAUAUUUCCCUAUUUCAAAUACAGAACAUAUGCCUAAUACAUCCCCCCAUGAUUGAUAAAUGUGAGGUUUUCGGGGUAGAAAGUCACGUGGGGUGAGACUUCCGGGGUUCAUGGGGGGAAGGUGAUAAACAGCAGUCAGAUGAGUUGCAUACUCCUUAGGGCUUGACCUUUGUAAGUGCACCUUCUGGUGGCACUGGCUGCCCCUCCUUGCCUUGUGGUAUCUGCUGACCGUGGGCCUGGGUGCACAGGGUUUCUCUCUGGUCUGACUGAAGUGCUUCCCUGAAGAAGGGACGUUGGGGCAGCUCAUGGAGAAUGCUCCCCAGGCUGGUGGAAUGCCUGCAUCCCAGAGUGGCAGAUGUGGCUUAUCCCCCAGAAGAUGUUUUCUUUGUCUGCAGGGAGACAGGGUUUUCCAAUCUCCCUGUGGCCAGGUGUGAUCUUGUGACUAAAUUCUAAUCAAUGAGAUGUCAGCAAAACCAUCUGGCAGCUUCUGAGAACCUUCCUGAAGAGAUAACUAUGAUGCGCCCUGGAACUCUCCACCCCUUUGUUCUUUCCCCUGUUUGUCGGCGGGAAGAUGGACCAUGGGGAUAACCUCCACUCUGGGGAUGAUGGCAGAGAGGGCAACCAGGGGAGUCUGGCGUCUCGGGACUUUGUGAACCUGCCAUGACAGCCCUAGGCCUCUGAUGUCUCCUGAUUUCAUUUAGGUCAGAGAAGAACACAUUUCUGUCUAGUUUAAACCACUGUUGUUUUGGGUUUUCUGUCACUUACAGCUGAACUAGGUAAAAGGCAGGAUUUAGUUGUGUUUUUUGUUUGUUUCUUUGUUUUUGCCAAAAUGUUGAAUAUACUAGUGACAAUACAUAGAGAUUGACAGCAGAUAGGCACACGGGGGAGUACGGAAUUUCAUUGCAGGCCAAAUCCUGGGGUUCUGAAGGACUCUCCUGAUCCAUGUCGGUGGGCGACCUGAGGUCACUCACAAAUCUCCUUCAGGGCCAGCUACUCCUGGUAGCUGUUAAGACUUCAUAAUAAAGAGUAGCAUGUCAGCAACUCCUGAAAUAUCUUUGUUUUUAAAGCUAGUUGGGGAGAACUGGGUAGAAUUUAUAAUGGGUUCUGCCCUUCAGGUUAGUUAUUUCCGAG
ensembl:lncRNA